GCCCGACUAGCUCAUCGGUAGAGCGCCUCACUAGUAUAUUCUCUCUCAUAAAAAUAACUACACUAGCUAGUUCUUCUAAAGGGUUAGGAUCAGGAUCAAUGAGGAGGCAACAGGUUCGAUUCCUGUGUUGGGCA